UCGAGCGAAGCGAGAGAACGUUGCGCCAGCAACGGCCCGCAGGGCGAGCCACGAAGUGGCGAGUAAUCCUCUGGCACCGACCA
rnacentral:sRNA from 1 species